AUGCAUUCUCCCCUCUUCUUUGUGUGUAUAGCUGCCAUUUUUUCCUCCUUUUGGGGAUUGUGUGGAUAUGGUCGACACAUCAACUCCAUCACAGAAUGUAAUCCGAAGAUACAGAAUCAAAUACAAGCUAAAGUCAUUCGUAGCCAACAAGACGAAGAGCCUAUUGGAAAGAGGCAGUGCUGGAGUUUGUACAGUGUGACAUCUUCACAAUGUGACAGAAAAAAAGCUGAUAAUGAAACAUCCUGCUUUAAUGAGAUUGCUUUGUGUGGAGAUAGGUAAGUCACUUCCAUUAUUCAACUUAUGCUGUUUAACUUGGAAAAUAAGUAAAGCCAGGAGCAGUAAAGUUUAGACUUGACUUGAAAGUAAUGCCAGCAUAGGUCUGGGACUUGAACAUUAAAAUUAACUUGGUAGCAGAGGGCUUCAAAGUAAAUUUAGAAAUAAAUCAGUUCUACUUCUUAUAUGAGGCAUUUUACAUCACCGAAGCAAUUGAAUAUAUGUUUUUAAAACUUAGUCUGUCAGUCCAUUUUCUAAACCGCUUUUUCCAGGAGUUGCAAGCUGUGAAAGCAGAUAAAUA
rnacentral:lncRNA from 1 species